rnacentral:hammerhead_ribozyme from 1 species
AUCCGGCUGGUGAGUCCCAAAUAGGAUGAAAUGCACAUCCUGGAU